GGGAGCAAUGUUAGCUCAGUUGGUAGAGCAUUGGACAUGUAAUCUAAGGGUUGCAGUUUCAAUACCCACCUGUGUCAGCCCA